GCAGGUGCGAAAGCAGGUCAUAGUGAUCCGGUGGUUCUGAAUGGAAGGGCCAUCGCUCAACGGAUAAAAGGUACUCCGGGGAUAACAGGCUGAUACCGCCCAAGAGUUCAUAUCGACGGCGGUGUUUGGCACCUCGAUGUCGGCUCAUCACAUCCUGGGGCUGAAGUAGGUCCCAAGGGUAUGGCUGUUCGCCAUUUAAAGUGGUACGCGAGCUGGGUUUAGAACGUCGUGAGACAGUUCGGUCCCUAUCUGCCGUGGGCGCUGGAGAACUGAGGGGGGCUGCUCCUAGUACGAGAGGACCGGAGUGGACGCAUCACUGGUGUUCGGGUUGUCAUGCCAAUGGCACUGCCCGGUAGCUAAAUGCGGAAGAGAUAAGUGCUGAAAGCAUCUAAGCACGAAACUUGCCCCGAGAUGAGUUCUCCCUGACUCCUUGAGAGUCCUGAAGGAACGUUGAAGACGACGACGUUGAUAGGCCGGGUGUGUAAGCGCAGCGAUGCGUUGAGCUAACCGGUACUAAUGAACCGUGAGGCUUAACCUU
rnacentral:rRNA from 1 species